UAAAAAUUUUACUUUGAGUUUCCUCUCAUUUGUGAAUUUUUCUCUCUCAAACUCACAUUUUCUUCUCAGAUUUCCCAAUCUCUCUUAUUUUUUAUUUUAGGUUUCUCUGUUAUACCUGAUUAAGGUUUUUCAAGCUGACCAGCUCCAAUCCUCCCAUUUCAAAAACACUCACUCUCCGUUCACUCUCCGUUCACUCUCCGUUCACUCUCCGUUCACUCUCCGUUCACUCUCCGUUCACUCUCUGUUCACUCUCCGUUCACUCUCCGUUCACUCUUGCAAUCCCAAAUGAUUUCUGUGUCACAGUUGGAUUUGAGUGGUUGGACCCAAUCGAUUUUGCUAGUGUUCUUUGCUGCUUCAAGGCAAGAUUUACUAUCGUCGUAGGCACUGUUCUUCCCUUUGUAGGCACUGUUAUUCCCUUUCUCUUUAUAAAUAUUCGUUUUCGAUUCACAUUUAUUCCCUAUCAUUCACAAUUGUUAGUUUUCAUCUCUUGGCUUCAAUAUAUUUAGUUUCAUUCCACUUCCAUUUUCAUUCCCUUUUGUGCCCUAGCUUCAAUCUAGGUCGGCAUUGUUUGGUUCUUCACUGCUUCAAGGAAAGGAUCCAGAUUGUUAAAAAGGAACAUCCUUUUGAGAUUGCUAGAAGCAGAGCUCACUUAAGCCCUGGUGGAAGAACUGAGGACAAUACUAGUAUGAGGCGACAAAUGCAUGGAGUUGCUUUAGAUGUAAGCAAUUUGUAGAUGCUUGAUGAGAAGAGAUAUCUUUGAUCUUUUCUCUUGCAUACUUCAGAAUACAAAACCUGUUGACCAUCAGGUAAGUGAGCUGGAGAAGUUGGGUUGCUCUGCUGAUUGGAAGAAUGUGCUUGUUGACUUCUUUGGAACGCAACAAAUAUAAUGUUAAGAGCGGGGAUCUCAUGAAUUGUAUAGGGGAAUUAGAGACAAACACUUACACGUUGGCAGUGGUGUGUCAUCCCCAAAUGAUAUAAGAGGAUCAAGUGGUGAAAGAAAAAUAGAUUAGGGUUAGGAUAACAAUUUUAAAUGUAAAAUUGUCUUAUGGUUUAACAAUUUUCAAUUCUUUUUUCUUUCAUAUUCAAAAACUUUGAUAUUUUGAUGUAAUUAUCAAAUGCACCAUAUGAUUGUACUUGUGAAUG